CGACCAUCGCUCCACCAAGCAACGGUCCCAAAACUGGACCACCGAUGGCUCCAAUUGCCCAAAAACACAUAAAGUAGGGAAGAAGCCAUGGUUGCCAAAUAUCUGCCAAAGUAGCACCUCCAGUCGCUAGAGCUGGCGAGCCGAAGAAACCGGCCAAAAACCUCAUUGGUAAUAAGACGCCCAAGCUAGAUCCCAGUGCGGUGGGAAUCUGUAAACACACAAAUACAAGGAGAGAAAGAACAUAAAUCUUUUGGCGACCAACUUGUGGAAUCUCCGAGAGUGGAGACAAAAUUAGGGGACCGAUGGCAUAGCCAAGUACAAAAAGAGUCAAUCCCAAAACUACGGGAACAGUUCCUACGUGCAUCGUUUCUUGCAUUUCUGAUAUACCUGGAGUAAAAAUUGCUGAUCCCACAUAAACCGCAAACGUUAAGAAGCAAAUAUCAAAAGUCACCACAAGCUUUGCCCACAAAGGCCAAUUUAGGGGAUUUUCGGGAUCGUUGGCAUCAUCCCAUCGCACAAUAAUGUGUCCCUCUGAAUUAACUUCAUGAAUCUUCAGAUCGCCGGAUUCCGAGCUGCAUGAGUCAUUGGAAUCUACUUUGCUAAUGUCUUUCCAUACUCUCAGUUUCUCUAAGUCGUUGUCAUUGGAGUUGUGAGAAACGUAUUCGACCAAUUCGCCGAAAACGGUUUCCCUUAAAAAUCCCAUUUAAAUGACCGUAUGUAAAAACCAAAGUUAGUUCUAUUUUUUGGUCUCGGUUAACUUUAUUAAAAACUUGACAGAUUAUUUGCCCACACUUGCUGGUACAAUUGUCUGGCUACAUUCUUCUCCUAAUAUACCCUUCGUGCCUUACCUAAUCAACGUGAAUGUUUACUAAGUGUAAAGUAAGCAUAUAUUGAUUGAUUAGUCAAUUAUGUGAGAUUCCUUCUUUCAAUUAUCCAUCGUAUUCUAAGUCGUUUCAGUAAGCAGUAUUAAAAGUGCA